GAUGAACGCUAGCGAUAGGCUUAACACAUGCAAGUCGAGGGACCGGCGCACGGGUGAGGAACGCGUAUCCAACCUACCCAUAACUAAGGGAAAACGAAGCGAAAGUUGGACUAAUACCUUAUGGUUUUGGCUGGGGAUGCGUCUGAUUAGCUUGUUGGAGGGGUAACGGCCCACCAAGGCAACGAGCAGUAGGGGUUCUGAGAGGAAGGUCCCCCGCAUUGGAACUGAGACACGGUCCAAACUCGUAGGGGAGGCAGCAGUGAGGAAUAUUGGGCAAUGGACGCAAGUCUGAACCAGCCAAGUAGCGUGCAGGAUGACGGCGUAUGGGUUGUAAACUGCUUUUAUAUGGGGAUAGGUACCAUAUGAAUAAGGACCGGCUAAUUCCGUGCCAGCCGCCGCGGUAAUUC
rnacentral:rRNA from 1 species